rnacentral:rRNA from 1 species
UCAAGCUAUAAAGAGCGUAGGGAGAAUGACUUGGCAUCAGGAGCCGAAGAAGGACGUGACAAGCUGCGAAAAGCUGCGGUUAGGAGCAAAUAUCCAUAGACCCGCAGAUAUCCGAAUGGGGAAACCCGGUACGGCAAUACCGUAUCACUGCAUGGUAAAUACAUAGCCAUGUGGAGGAAACCCUCUGAACUGAAACAUCUAAGUAGGAGGAGGAAGAGAAAGAAACAUCGAUUUCCUAAGUAGCGGCGAGCGAAAGGGAAAGAGGCCAAACCAGAGAUAGCAAUAUCUUUGGGGUUGCGGACUGCGUAAUUGAUUCAAUAUUUUUAGCAGAAGUGUAUGGGAAGACACACCAUAGUAGGUAAUAGUCCUGUAAGCGAAAAGGAUAUUGACAAGGCAGGAUCCAGAGUACCACCGGACACGAGGAACCCGGUGGGAAGCCGGGGGGACCACCCCCCAAGCCUAAAUACUACCUGAUGACCGAUAGUGAAAAGUACAGUGAUGGAAAGUUGAAAAGAACCCCGGAAGGGGAGUGAAAAAGAAUCUGAAACCCUAUGUUUACAAGCUGCUAAAGCACCAUAUGAGUGCGAUAGCGUACUUUUUGUAGAACGGUCCGGCGAGUGUAUGUUGCAAGCGAGGUUAAGGUGUUAAGCACUGAAGCCGAAGGGAGACCGAGUGUGAAUAGCGCGUACAGUUUGCAGUAUACGACCCGAAACCGGGUGACCUAACCAUGGACAGGUUGAAGUGGAAGUAAAAUUCCAUGGAGGACCGAACCCACGUCUGUUGAAAAAGGCGGGGAUGAGCUGUGGUUAGCGGUGAAAUUCCAAUCGAACUCGGAUAUAGCUGGUUCUCAUCGAAAUAGCUUUAGGGCUAGCCUCAGGAUAGUUUAGCGGAGGUAAAGCACUGAAUGGGCUAGGGGGCUUCACGGCUUACCGAACCCUAUCAAACUCUGAAUGCCGCAUAAAUGUUUCCUGGGAGUCAGACUGCGUGAGAUAAGUUUCGUAGUCAAAAGGGAAAGAGCCCAGACCUACAGCUAAGGUCCCUAAAUGAAUUUAAGUGGAAAAGGAUGUGCAGUUGCGUAGACAACUAGGACGUUGGCUUAGAAGCAGCCACUCAUUUAAAGAGUGCGUAAUAGCUCACUAGUCGAGUGAUUGUGCGCCGAAAAUGUAACGGGGCUAAAAUUCAUACCGAAGCUUAGGAAUGAUAGUAAUAUUGUUGGUAGAUGAGCGUUGUGUAAGUCUGCGAAGCUACACCGAAAGGAGUAGUGGAGAUAUCACAAGUGAGAAUGCCGGAAUGAGUAGCGAGAAUUAUGUGAGAAUCAUAAUGGUCGAAAAUCUAAGGUUUCUUGAGGAAGGUUCGUCCGCUCAAGGUAAGCCGGGAGCUAAGGCGAGGCCGAGAGGCGUAGUCGAUGCACAUACGGUAAAGAUUCCGUAGCCACCGAAGUCGUUAAAUACAGGGACACAGGAACAUAGCCCAUCCCCACCGUUGGUUGAGUGGGGCGUAAGGGAGCGAAAAUUAGUAGCGAAGUGGGUGAUUGUACACUGGCGAGAAAAGCUGUAUGAAUUGACAAGGUGCCCGUACCGCAAACCGACACAGGUAGAUGAGGAGAGAAUCCUAAGACCAGCGGGAGAAGUGUUGUUAAGGAACUCGGCAAAAUGACCCCGUAACUUCGGGAUAAGGGGAGCCUAUGAGAGUAGGCCGCAGAGAAUAGUCUCAAGCGACUGUUUAGCAAAAACACAGGUCUAUGCUAAAUCGAAAGAUGAUGUAUAUGGGCUGACGCCUGCCCGGUGCUGGAAGGUUAAGGGGAAGUGUUAGAGCAAUCGAAGCACUGAACUUAAGCCCCAGUAAACGGCGGCCGUAACUAUAACGGUCCUAAGGUAGCGAAAUUCCUUGUCAGGUAAGUUCUGACCCGCACGAAUGGCGUAACGACUUGAGAGCUGUCUCAACAACAUACCCGGCGAAAUUGAAGUACUGGUAAAGAUGCCAGUUACCCGUGAUAAGACGGAAAGACCCCAUGGAGCUUUACUGUAACUUGAUAUUGAAUUUUUGUAUUACAUGUACAGGAUAGGUGGGAGACAGAGAACUAAUGCCGCCAGGUGUUAGGGAGUCGAUGUUGGGAUACCACUCUUGUAAUAUGAAGGUUCUAACCUGCACCCGUGAAUCCGGGUGGGGGACACUGUCAGGUGGACAGUUUGACUGGGGCGGUCGCCUCCUAAAAGGUAACGGUUUGGUUUUGUGCAAACACCCGUUUUCAACAUAGGAAUUGUUUAAAAAAGGGAACUUUUCGUCGUAUUGUAAAGGUUUUCACAUAUGGAUUAUAAAAUGUUUUUCCAGAAAUUACAAGGCGAAUGACGAUGCAACCAUACCAAAUGCAACAGCCUUUUUCUUAAUGAUGUUUAGCUUUUUGAAAGAGUUACUAUAAAUAACGGAAAAAUUGAAUAAUAAAUAACAAAUAUAUCACUUAGCAUAAAAAAAGAAAAGAAACCCUUUCAGAAUUUAGUUGGUGAUGAAAGAUUAUUUCCCUUUUUCUAGUGAUGCAUCUUAAGCUUACCUUCUUUACAAAAGGAUAACUAUUAUUUUUUUAUAACCAUGCAUAGUAAAUUACCGAAAAAAAAACGUCAUUCUCUUAUGGAAUAUCUAAAAAAACAUGGGGAACUGAAAUCCAUCGCAAAAACAUGUGGUGCUUCAGUUUUUUUCUAUACAUUUACCGAUAUAAAAAAACGGUUUAUGUAACACAUGCAUACGAUAUCAUAAUGGAUAACGCCGCAUUGUGUUUCUUUAACCGUUUUUUAUUUUAUCCU